GGGGCACUGGCGAAAUUGGACAUCGCAGCGGCCUCCAAAGCCGAAGAUUCCAGGUUCGAGUCCUGGGUGCCCCG
rnacentral:tRNA from 1 species